UACGAAGGGGGCUAGCGUUGUUCGGAAUCACUGGGCGUAAAGGGCGCGUAGGCGGCUUUAUAAGUCGGGGGUGAAAGCCUGUGGCUCAACCACAGAAUUGCCUUCGAUACUGUAGAGCUUGAGACCGGAAGAGGUAAGUGGAACUGCGAGUGUAGAGGUGAAAUUCGUAGAUAUUCGCAAGAACACCAGUGGCGAAGGCGGCUUACUGGACGAUGACUGACGCUGAGACACGAAAGCGUGGGGAGCAAACAGG
rnacentral:rRNA from 1 species